rnacentral:rRNA from 1 species
UACGGGGGGGGCAAGCGUUGUUCGGAAUUACUGGGCGUAAAGGGCUCGUAGGCGGCCAACUAAGUCGGAUGUGAAAUCCCCAGGCUCAACCUGGGAACUGCAUCCGAUACUGGAUGGCUUGAAUUCGGGAGAGGGAUGCGGAAUUCCAGGUGUAGCGGUGAAAUGCGUAGAUAUCUGGAGGAACACCGGUGGCGAAGGCGGCAUCCUGGACCAAUAUUGACGCUGAGGAGCGAAAGCCAGGGGAGCAAAACGGGG